ACGGGAGGCAGCAGUGGGGAAUAUUGGGCAAUGGGCGAAAGCCUGACCCAGCGACGCCGCGUGAGGGAAGAAGAUCUUCGGAUUGUAAACCUUAGUCAACAGGGACGAAGAAAGUGACGGUACCUGUGGAGGAAGCCACGGCUAACUACGUGCCAGCAGCCGCGGUAAUACGUAGGUGGCGAGCGUUAUCCGGAAUUACUGGGUGUAAAGGGUGUGUAGGCGGGUCUGCAAGUCAGAUGUGAAAACUAUGGGCUUAACUCAUAGCCUGCAUUUGAAACUGUAUCUCUUGAGUGUCGGAGAGGUAGAUGGAAUUCCUAGUGUAGCGGUGAAAUGCGUAGAUAUUAGGAGGAACACCAGUGGCGAAGGCGAUCUACUGGACUAUAACUGACGCUGAGGCGCGAAAGCGUGGGGAGCAAACAGGAUUAGAUACCCUGGUA
rnacentral:rRNA from 1 species